rnacentral:snRNA from 1 species
UUGUAAGGAGUUUCGGGCA